GGAAGACGAGGAAGAGGAGAGGAGGCUGGUGGAGCAGAGGGCUCACAUUCAAAAGGAGUGGGAGGCUGCUGACUUUAGACAGUCAGCCAUCCUGUUUUAAGCAGAAGUUUUCAGAUGACACAGCCCUAGUUGGCCUACUUACCCAUGGUAAUGACCAUGGGUACAAAAAACGGAUUGAUUCUUUCUCUCCCAUUCCUACGUGUAGGAAUCAGCUCCAAGCUGCAGAGGCAAUUCCCGUGCCAGAGCUGGAGAAGAGCCCGCUGCCGUCAACCAGCAAGUCCCAGUGCCCUCAGCUUGGUCAUCCUGUCCGUGUCCCUGAUGCAGAGACAAAACUCACUUUAAGUGAGAGAUCAGCCCACAAGAUGGUUCAGUCCCAGUCCAGGUCUUCGCCCUAAAUCCAGGCAGCAGCAGCAAAAGGCAAACGUUUGUUUAGUGCCUCAGGCCCUGCCCUUGAUGUCAGAAUCCUUCAAGGUGUCAUUCGGUGAAACAGGAGGGUGUGUGCAGCAGAGCGGACUGCCGUUACCAGUUUUGCACAACCUUCUUGUAUGCUUUCCACAGCUCAAAAGAGUGUGGCAGCAGGUCUGCAGGUCGCCACAAGAAGGACAUUCUUCUUCCUGGAAGCGCUCAGAGCAAGCGAAACAUCAGGAGACUGUAAACAGAAAGUUGACUGGAUUCCUGUUUGCAUCUGCCAUAAAAACGUCUGAUUUUUCUCGUCUAAUGGGGAAGGAAAGCUGUGGCAGCAGGGAAACUUAUUUCAGUAGAUGAGCACAAGUUCUGUAUUUACUAAUGUCUUUAUUCCUGUCUGUUUUUUAUAUGUUUUUUUGCUGUACAGUUCUUGCAGUUUUCAAUUAUGAAUGUGAAGGGAGUUGCAGUAAAAUGAACUUCUUUUGCUCAUUCUCCCUUUCAUACAUGUUUACCAGCUGUACAUAGUGUUUUUGGGGAGCCCUUGUA